rnacentral:rRNA from 1 species
UACGUAGGGUGCGAGCGUUGUCCGGAAUUAUUGGGCGUAAAGAGCUUGUAGGCGGUUUGUCGCGUCUGCCGUGAAAAUCCGGGGCUCAACCCCGGACUUGCGGUGGGUACGGGCAGACUUGAGUACUGCAGGGGAGACUGGAAUUCCUGGUGUAGCGGUGGAAUGCGCAGAUAUCAGGAAGAACACCCGUGGCGAAGGCGGCUCUCUGGGACGGUACUGACGCUGAGACGCGAAAGCGUGGGGAGCGAACAGG